rnacentral:rRNA from 1 species
CCUACGGGAGGCAGCAGUAAGGAAUAUUGGUCAAUGGGCGCAAGCCUGAACCAGCCAUCCCGCGUGAAGGAAGAAGGCGCUAUGCGUUGUAAGCUUCUUUUUCGGGGGAAGAAAAUUUUUUACGAGUAGAGAAUUGACGGUACCCUGUGAAUAAGCAUCGGCUAACCCCGUGCCAGCAGCCGCGGUAAU